rnacentral:misc_RNA from 1 species
GAUGAAGAACGUAGCGAAAUGCGAUACUUGGUGUGAAUUGCAGAAUCCCGUGAACCAUCGAGUCUUUGAACGCAAGUUGCGCCCGAAGCCAUUAGGCCGAGGGCACGCCUGCCUGGGUGUCACACGUCGUUGCCCCCCCAUCUACUCCUUCGGGGUUGCGGGGGGCGGAUGAUGGCCUCCCGUGCGCCUCGUCGCGCGGUGCGACGCACGCCACGACAAUCGGUGGUUGCGAAAUCUCGGUUGCCCGUCGUGUGCGGUCGUCGCGCAUCGAGGGCUCGAAAAAAUUGCCGGGCUCCGGCUCGGCUUUCAACGCGACCCCAGGUCAGGCGGGGUUACCCGCUGAAUUUAAGCAUAUCAAUAAGCGGAGGA